rnacentral:ncRNA from 2 species
CAGAAUAUACGGCAAUCAGGUGCAAAAGCUUAAUAGGGAAGUCCGGUCCGAUUCCGGCGCGGUCCCGCCACUGUAUGAAGGAGCAUUUUCUGUAUGCCACUGGCAUGUGCCGGGAAGGCUGAAGAUGUGAUGAAUUUAGCCAGGAGACCUGCCUGAUUGCAGCACCGUAC